AGCAGCCGCGGUAAUUCCAGCUCCAAUAGCGUAUAUUAAAGUUGUUGCAGUUAAAAAGCUCGUAGUUGAAUUUCGGGAUCAAAUUGUCGGUCGUGCCUCGGUACGAACUGGUAUUAUUGGUUCCUACCUUCUGAAGAACCGCGAUGUCAUUAAUUUGGUGUCGUGGGGAAUCAGGACUGUUACUUUGAAAAAAUUAGAGUGUUUAAAGCAGGCUUACGCUUGAAUACAUUAGCAUGGAAUAAUGAAAUAGGACGUUUGAUUCUAUUUUGUUGGUUUCUAGGAUUGACGUAAUGAUUAAUAGGGAUAGUUGGGGGCAUUAGUAUUCAAUUGUCAGAGGUGAAAUUCUUGGAUUUAUUGAAGACUAACUACUGCGAAAGCAUUUGCCAAGGAUGUUUUCAUUAAUCAAGAACGAAAGUUAGGGGAUCGAAGACGAUCAGAUACCGUCGUAGU
rnacentral:rRNA from 1 species